ensembl:lncRNA
GAGCUUAUGUGUGUAAGCUCAGGCACUCCAUCAUGUUCAACUCUUUGAGGCCCCAUGAACUGUAGCCCGCCAGGCUCCUCUGUCCAUGGAGUUUUCCAGGCAAGACUACUGGAGUGGGUUGCCAUUUCCUCCUCCAGGGGGUCUUCCCGACCCAGGGAUCAAAACUGUGUCUCUUGCAUCUCCUGCAUCGAACUCCUCUUAUUGCACCCAUCUCACCACCCACAUGCUCAGCUGAAUCAUUUCAUCAAGUGGGAAGACACUGAAGGACAUCCAUGGAAUUAAUCUUAAAAGAAAGCAGACAGCAUGGAGUUAGUUUAUAGCCACUUCAUCAGAGCUUGGGCAGCUGGAUUCCAGGCCUAAAGACUCAGCCUCCUUAAUGCUAAACAGCGUCACAGAAAGAAUUUUCCACAACAUUGGGUUAUAUGUAACAAGAUUUCCUCUAGUUUCUGGACUUGCUUCUUGCAAGGACUCUCCUUUCUGAAAAAGUCAACAGUCAAGUUGGAAAAGCCCACAUGGCCAGGAAAUAUGGAUGGUUUCUAGAAACUACAGAAAGACUACAAACUUUAGGAGGCCUCUAGAAACUAUGAGUGCCCUUUAGGAAUUGAGAGGGGCCUCCACACAGUAAGAAAUCAGGACCUCAGUCUUAUUAUCGUUGUAAGAAAAUAUAUUCUGCUAACAACGUGAAUGAGCUUAGAAGUAGAUUCUUCCCCAACCAAGCCUCCAGAUGAGAAUACAGCCCAGCUGAUACCUUCAUUGCAGCCGUGUGAGAGCCUGAGCAGAGGAUUCAACCAAGCCAAACUCUUGACCCACAGAAACUG